rnacentral:rRNA from 1 species
UGCAGUCGAGCGAUGCGAUGCUUCUUCGGAAGCAUCAAUUAGCGGCAGACCGUUGAGUAACACGUGGGUAACCUGCCUCAAAGAGGGGAAUACCCUCCCGAAAGGGAGAUUAAUACCGCAUAACAUGUUUUGGUCGCAUGAUCAAAAUAUCAAAGGAUUUUUCUUCGGAAAUUUCCACUUUGAGAUGGACCCGCGGCACAUUAGCUAGUUGGUGAGGUAACGGCUCACCAAGGCGACGAUGCGUAGCCGACCUGAGAGGGUGAUCGGCCACAUUGGAACUGAGACACGGUCCAGACUCCUACGGGAGGCAGCAGUGGGGAAUAUUGCGCAAUGGGGGAAACCCUGACGCAGCAACGCCGCGUGAAUGAUGAAGGCCUUCGGGUUGUAAAGUUCUGUCUUCUGGGACGAUAAUGACGGUACCAGAGGAGGAAGCCCCGGCUAACUACGUGCCAGCAGCCGCGGUAAUACGUAGGGGGCAAGCGUUGUCCGGAAUUAUUGGGCGUAAAGGGUGCGUAGGCGGCCGACUAAGUCAGAUGUGAAAUACCAGGGCUCAACCUUGGGGGUGCAUUUGAAACUGGUUGGCUUGAGUGCAGGAGAGGAAAGUGGAAUUCCUAGUGUAGCGGUGAAAUGCGUAGAGAUUAGGAGGAACACCAGUGGCGAAGGCGACUUUCUGGACUGUAACUGACGCUGAGGCACGAAAGCGUGGGGAGCAAACAGGAUUAGAUACCCUGGUAGAAUCACUAGUGAAUUC